UAACCGACGAAACGGGACGGACGGGACCGGUACCCAACGGUUGAGAUUCAUGACUGGGGUG
rnacentral:rRNA from 1 species